UACGAAGGGGGGCUAGCGUUGCUCGGAAUCACUGGGCGUAAAGGGUGCGUAGGCGGGUUUUUAAGUCAGAGGUGAAAUCCUGGAGCUCAACUCCAGAACUGCCUUUGAUACUGAAAGUCUUGAGUAUGGGAGAGGUGAGUGGAACUGCGAGUGUAGAGGUGAAAAUUCGUAGAUAUUCGCAAGAACACCAGUGGCGAAGGCGGCUCACUGGCCCAUUACUGACGCUGAGGCACGAAAGCGUGGGGAAGCAAACAGGG
rnacentral:rRNA from 1 species